rnacentral:rRNA from 1 species
GAUGAACGCUGGCGGCGUGCCUAAUACAUGCAAGUCGAGCGAACAGACGAGGAGCUUGCUCCUCUGACGUUAGCGGCGGACGGGUGAGUAACACGUGGAUAACCUACCUAUAAGACUGGGAUAACUUCGGGAAACCGGAGCUAAUACCGGAUAAUAUAUUGAACCGCAUGGUUCAAUAGUGAAAGACGGUUUUGCUGUCACUUAUAGAUGGAUCCGCGCCGCAUUAGCUAGUUGGUAAGGUAACGGCUUACCAAGGCAACGAUGCGUAGCCGACCUGAGAGGGGGAUCGGCCACACUGGAACUGAGACACGGUCCAGACUCCUACGGGAGGCAGCAGUAGGGAAUCUUCCGCAAUGGGCGAAAGCUUGACGGAGCAACGCCGCGUGAGUGAUGAAGGUCUUCGGAUCGUAAAACUCUGUUAUUAGGGAAGAACAAAUGUGUAAGUAACUAUGCACGUCUUGACGGUACCUAAUCAGAAAGCCACGGCUAACUACGUG